GCUGCAACGCGCAAAGAGGCAAACAGGUUUUGUAGUCCUGUUAGGUAGUUUUAAUUAUUACUUGUGGCU
rnacentral:tRNA from 1 species